rnacentral:rRNA from 1 species
UACGUAGGGAGCAAGCGUUGUCCGGAAUCAUUGGGCGUAAAGGGCUCGUAGGCGGUUUGUCGCGUCGGGAGUGAAAACACCGGGCUUAACUCGGUGCUUGCUUUCGAUACGGGCAGACUAGAGGCAUGCAGGGGAGAACGGAAUUCCUGGUGUAGCGGUGAAAUGCGCAGAUAUCAGGAGGAACACCGGUGGCGAAGGCGGUUCUCUGGGCAUGUCCUGACGCUGAGGAGCGAAAGUGUGGGGAGCGAACAGG